UUUGGUUAGGCUUGUGGAAUCGAACAGCUCGAAAAUCUCACCAGAUCAAUAUCCAGGAACUACAUUUGCAUUAACUCUUGCAAGAUGCAUCAAAGUUUAUGAAACAUUUAACACUUGGUUAGGCAUGCAUCUGCCCAAAAAACUCGAGCUUCAGCCUAGAAACUAGUACUUCCAGGCACACUACAAUGUUUGCAUAAUAUUCC
rnacentral:lncRNA from 1 species